GUUGUAGUGCAAUGGAUAGCGCGUUGAACUUCUAAUACAAAGGUUGUGGUUUCGAAUUCCACCUGAGAUG
rnacentral:tRNA from 1 species